CACCGGCGGCUCGAGUGGUGGCCACUUUUAUUGGGUCUAAAGCGUCCGUAGCCGGCUUGGCAAGUCCCCUGGGAAAUCUGGCGGCUUAACCGUCAGGCGUCCAGAGGAUACUGCCAGGCUUGGGACCGGGAGAGGUGAGAGGUACCUCAGGGGUAGGGGUGAAAUCUUGUGAUCCCUGAGGGACCACCAGUGGCGAAGGCGUCUCACUAGAACGGGUCCGACGGUCAGGGACGAAAGCUGGGGGCACGAACAGG
rnacentral:rRNA from 1 species